rnacentral:rRNA from 1 species
UACGUAGGGUGCAAGCGUUAAUCGGAAUUACUGGGCGUAAAGCGCGUGUAGGCGGCCCUGCAAGUCGGAUGUGAAAUCCCACGGCUCAACCGUGGAAGUGCAUUCGAAACUGCAGGGCUAGAGUCCUGGAGAGGAAGGUGGAAUGCUUGGUGUAGAGGUGAAAUUCGUAGAUAUCAAGCGGAACACCGGUGGCGAAGGCGGCCUUCUGGACAGUGACUGACGCUGAGACGCGAAAGCGUGGGGAGCAAACAGG